GCGAUUCAUUCUGCAAGGCACUUUACAAAGAUACAUUCAGCAUUGUUGAGUUGGGCUGAAGAAGAAUUCUGCACUGCAUAGAUUUGGCGUGUGACUCGAGUUGAAGGAAAAGGCUUAUGCUGGUGAGACUUGUUGAAGAGGCUACAGGACUUCCAUGAGCUGGCAUACGCUUCCCCAGGUUGCAACGCCAAUAAGUUCAAGCAAGCACAUCAAAUGUCAAGCAAACAUCGAAUACUGCAACAAUUUUUUCCUCAUUGAAA
rnacentral:lncRNA from 1 species